rnacentral:tRNA from 1 species
GAGGGUGUAGCUCAAGUGGUAGAGCGCAUGCUUAGCAUGCAUGAGGUCCCGGGUUCAAUCCCCAGUACCUCCU